rnacentral:rRNA from 1 species
AGCUUCCUACGGGACGCAGCAGUGGGGAAUAUUGGGCAAUGGAGGAAACUCUUACCCAGCAAUGCCGCGUGAAUGAAGAAGGUCUUCGGAUUGUAAAGUUCUUUAAUUGGGGACGAAAAAAAUGACGGUACCCAAGGAAUAAGCCCCGGCUAACUACGUGCCAGCAGCCGCGGUAAUACGUAGGUGGCAAGCGUUAUCUGGAUUUAUUGGGUGUAAAGGGCGUGUAGGCGGGAGCGCAAGUCAGAUGUGAAAACUCAGGGCUCAACCCUGAGCCUGCAUUUGAAACUGUGUUUCUUGAGUGCUGG